rnacentral:rRNA from 1 species
UGAGGGAAUAUUGGGUCAAUGGGCGCAAGCCUGAACCAGCCAAGUAGCGUGCAGGAAGACGGCCCUAUGGGUUGUAAACUGCUUUCAGUCGGGAAUAAUUCGUCGGUCGUGACCGGCGUUGCAGGUACCGUCAUAAGAAGGACCGGCUAAUUCCGUGCCAGCAGCCGCGGUAAUACGGAAGGUCCGGGCGUUAUCCGGAUUUAUUGGGUUUAAAGGGAGCGUAGGUGGACUGUCAAGUCAGUUGUGAAAGCCUGGUGCUCAACGCCAGAGGUGCCGCGGGAACUGCAGGUCUUGAGUCGUGACGAGGGCGGCGGAAUGCGAAGUGUAGCGGUGAAAUGCUUAGAUAGUUCGCAGAACGCCGAUUGCGAAGGCAGCCGCCCAGGGACGCACUGACGCUGAGGCACGAAGGCAUGGGGAUCGAACAGGAUUAGAUACCCUGGUAGU